rnacentral:rRNA from 1 species
GAGUUUGAUCUUGGCUCAGAACGAACGCUGGCGGCAGGCCUAACACAUGCAAGUCGAGCGCUGUAGCAAUACAGAGCGGCGCACGGGAGAGUAACGCGUGGGAACCUUCCUUUUGGUUCGGAAUAACAUCGGGAAACUGGUGCUAAUACCGGAUAAGCCCCUCGGGGGAAAGAUUUAUCGCCGAAAGAUGGGCCCGCGUUGGAUUAGCUAGUUGGUGAGGUAAUGGCUCACCAAGGCGACGAUCCAUAGCUGGUCUGAGAGGAUGAUCAGCCUCACUGGGACUGAGACACGGCCCAGACUCCUACGGGAGGCAGCAGUGGGGAAUAUUGGACAAUGGGGGCAACCCUGAUCCAGCCAUGCCGCGUGAAUGAUGAAGGCCUCGG